rnacentral:rRNA from 1 species
UACGUAGGGGUCGAGCGUUGUCCGGACUUACUGGGCGUAAAGCGUGGGUAGGUGGCUAGUGAUGUGCCGUGUGAAAGCGCCGCGCUUCUCGCGGCGAGGUCGCGGUAGACACACUAGCUAGAGGCACGGAGAGGGGCGUAGAAUUCCCGGUGUAGUGGUGAAAUGCGUAGAUAUCUGGAGGAACACCGGUGGCGAAGGCGGCAUCCUGGACCAAUAUUGACGCUGAGGAGCGAAAGCCAGGGGGAGCAAACGGG